UACGUAGGGCGCAAGCGUUGUCCGGAUUUAUUGGGCGUAAAGAGCUCGUAGGCGGCACAGUAAGUCAGAAGUAAAAGCGCAAGGCUCAACCUUGCGUCGCUUUUGAUACUGCUGAGCUUGAGUAUGGCAGGGGAAGACGGAAUUCCACGUGUAGCGGUGAAAUGCGCAGAUAUGUGGAGGAACACCAAUGGCGAAGGCAGUCUUCUGGGCCAUCACUGACGCUGAGGAGCGAAAGCGUGGGGAGCGAACAGGAUUAGAUACCCUGGUAGUCCACGCCGUAAACGGUGGAUACUAGGUGUGGGGAAUAACCAACAUUUUCCGCGCCGUCGCUAACGCAUUAAGUAUCCCGCCUGGGGAGUACGGCCGCAAGGCUAAA
rnacentral:rRNA from 1 species